CUGCCACAACGGCUUCCUGGCGUGGCAUGGGUAAUCAUUAAUGGAGCA
rnacentral:ncRNA from 1 species